AACGCUAGCUACAGGCUUAACACAUGCAAGUCGAGGGGCAGCAUGGUCUUAGCUUGCUAAGGCCGAUGGCGACCGGCGCACGGGUGAGUAACACGUAUCCAACCUGCCGUCUACUCUUGGACAGCCUUCUGAAAGGAAGAUUAAUACAAGAUGGCAUCAUGAGUCCACAUGUUCACAUGAUUAAAGGUAUUCCGGUAGACGAUGGGGAUGCGUUCCAUUAGAUAGUAGGCGGGGUAACGGCCCACCUAGUCUUCGAUGGAUAGGGGUUCUGAGAGGAAGGUCCCCCACAUUGGAACUGAGACACGGUCCAAACUCCUACGGGAGGCAGCAGUGAGGAAUAUUGGUCAAUGGGCGAGAGCCUGAACCAGCCAAGUAGCGUGAAGGAUGACUGCCCUAUGGGUUGUAAACUUCUUUUAUAAAGGAAUAAAGUCGGGUAUGGAUACCCGUUUGCAUGUACUUUAUGAAUAAGGAUCGGCUAACUCCGUGCCAGCAGCCGCGGUAAUACGGAGGAUCCGAGCGUUAUCCGGAUUUAUUGGGUUUAAAGGGAGCGUAGAUGGAUGUUUAAGUCAGUUGUGAAAGUUUGCGGCUCAACCGUAAAAUUGCAGUUGAUACUGGAUAUCUUGAGUGCAGUUGAGGCAGGCGGAAUUCGUGGUGUAGCGGUGAAAUGCUUAGAUAUCACGAAGAACUCCGAUUG
rnacentral:rRNA from 1 species